rnacentral:lncRNA from 1 species
CGGGGCGGAUUUUCAAAAAUCCGAAUUCGAACCCGAACCCGAACCCGAACCCGAACCCUACAAGUUUUAAAAAUUCAUAUCCAAAUCCGAAACCAACCAAAAAAAUCCGAAACUUGAACCCGAACCCGAAAAUUCGAACACGAAAUAAUUAUUUUUCUUUUCAAUAUUUCAAAAUGUAUUAUAUUAAAUUUAAAAUUUUAAAAUAUAAAUUCAAAUAUGAUAACAAAUUUUUAUAUACAUAUUAUAUAUAAAGUAAAAUAAAUUCGGGUUUGGAUCGGGUUCGGGUCGGGUUCGGAUUCGGGUUGGGUACAGUCAAAAUCUAUAUCCGUAUUCAUAUUCGUCAGAUUUUUAUUUUUGAUAUCUAUAUCCGAAACCAUAUCCAUUUAGCAUCGGAUAAAUUCGCUCUGUUCGAAUUUGGAUUAUGAUAAAAUUUGGAAUAUCUGUAUCCAUUGACAGCCCUAUCCUCAAGAGCUUAUCGGGAACAUCCAACUGCGUUCCAAAUGGUGGCAGUGGCCUUACUUUUCAAGAUUGAAAGUGAACGAGGCUACUCUUAUUGAGAUGUCAAUGUAUUGAAUUCGGGGCGGACUUGCAGAGACCUAAAUUCGAAUCCAACUAUUAAAUUCGAAUCCGAAUUCGAAUUCAAAUUCAAAUCCGACGGAUGUUAAAAAUUCAUAUUCAAACUAGAACCCGACCAAAACUUUGAAAUCCGAAUCCGAACCCAAAAUAAUUAUUUCUUAACUUUAGCAUAUUUCAGAACAUAUUACAUUAAAUCUAAAUAUUUAAAAUACAAAUUCAAAUAUAACAUCUCUCUCUCACACACACACACACACAGAUAUAUAUAUAU